rnacentral:rRNA from 1 species
UUUUCAGGGACGCUUGGCGGCCGAGAGCGAGUGUUGCGAGACAACAAAAAGCUCGACCUCAAAUCAGGUAGGAAUACCCGCUGAACUUAAGCAUAUCAAUAAGCGGAGGAAAAGAAACAACAGGAUUGCCUCAGUAGCGGCGAGUGAAGCGGCAAGAGCUCAGAUUUGAAAUCGUGCUUUGCGGCACGAGUUGUAGAUUGCAGGUUGGAGUCUGUGUGGAAGGCGGUGUCCAAGUCCCUUGGAACAGGGCGCCCAGGAGGGUGAGAGCCCCGUGGGAUGCCGGCGGAAGCAGUGAGGCCCUUCUGACGAGUCGAGUUGUUUGGGAAUGCAGCUCCAAGCGGGUGGUAAAUUCCAUCUAAGGCUAAAUACUGGCGAGAGACCGAUAGCGAACAAGUACUGUGAAGGAAAGAUGAAAAGCACUUUGAAAAGAGAGUGAAACAGCACGUGAAAUUGUUGAAAGGGAAGGGUAUUGCGCCCGACAUGGGGAUUGCGCACCGCUGCCUCUCGUGGGCGGCGCUCUGGGCUUUCCCUGGGCCAGCAUCGGUUCUUGCUGCAGGAGAAGGGGUUCUGGAACGUGGCUCUUCGGAGUGUUAUAGCCAGGGCCAGAUGCUGCGUGCGGGGACCGAGGACUGCGGCCGUGUAGUCACGAUGCUGCAGACGGCCAACACCGUGGG